rnacentral:rRNA from 1 species
UACGAAGGGGGCUAGCGUUGCUCGGCCUUACUGGUCGUGCAGGGCGCGUAUGCGGGUAUUUAAGUUGGGGGUGAAAUCCCGGGGCUCAACCUCGGAAUUGCCUUCAAAACUGGAUAUCUUGAGUUCGGGAGAGGUGAGUGGAACUCCGAGUGUAGAGGUGAAAUUCGUAGAUAUUCGGAAGAACACCAGUGGCGAAGGCGACUCGCUGGCCCGAUACUGACGCUGAGGCGCGAAAGCGUGGGGAGCAAACAGG